rnacentral:rRNA from 1 species
UACAGAGGUCUCAAGCGUUGUUCGGAUUCAUUGGGCGUAAAGGGCGCGUAGGCUGCGGGGUAAGUCGGGUGUGAAAUCUCAGAGCUCAACUCUGAAACUGCACUCGAUACUGCUUUGCUUGAGGACUGGAGAGGAGAGUGGAAUUCACGGUGUAGCAGUGAAAUGCGUAGAUAUCGUGAGGAAGACCAGUGGCGAAGGCGGAUCUCUGGACAGUUCCUGACGCUGAGGCGCGAAGGCGAGGGGAGCAAACAGG